GAUGAAGAACGUAGCGAAAUGCGAUAAGUAGUGUGAAUUGCAGAAUUCAGUGAAUCAUCGAAUCUUUGAACGCACAUUGCGCCCUUUGGUAUUCCUUAGGGCAUGCCUGUUCGAGCGUCAUUUAAACCUUCAAGCUCAGCUUGGUGAUGGGUGACUGUCCUCCCCUCGCGGGGGGACUCGCCUCAAAAACAUUGGCGGCCGGUACAUUGGCUUCGAGCGCAGCAGAAACGCGGUCUCGAGUCCGGUGGAUCGGCUCCCAUAAGUCUAUUCUUUUAUUUUGACCUCGGAUCAGGUAGGGAUACCCGCUGAACUUAAGCAUAUCAAUAAGCGAGGA
rnacentral:misc_RNA from 1 species